UACGUAGGGGUCUAGCGUUGUCCGGAAUUAUUGGGCGUAAAGGGCUCGUAGGCGGUUUGUCGCGUCUGCUGUGAAAACCCGAGGCUCAACCUCGGGCCUGCAGUGGGUACGGGCAGACUAGAGUGCGGUAGGGGAGAUUGGAAUUCCUGGUGUAGCGGUGGAAUGCGCAGAUAUCAGGAGGAACACCGAUGGCGAAGGCAGAUCUCUGGGCCGUAACUGACGCUGAGGAGCGAAAGCAUGGGGAGCGAACAGG
rnacentral:rRNA from 1 species